AUUUUCUUAGUAUAGUUAGUACAAAUGACUUCCAAUCAUUAAGCCUUGGUUAAAGUCCAAGAGAAAAUA
rnacentral:tRNA from 1 species